UUAAGAAGCAACAUCCAGUUAUCAGAUUUGUUCCGCUGUUUUAAUUGUAAGCAAUUUUGAUGAUACGGCCAGUUCGAAUACAAAUACCGUUGAAGAUGUUUCUCAACGGAUAUUUUGUUAUUGCGGUCAUGAUAUUUCAUCACACGCACCAUACUGAAUUCAUAGUUAAUGGAACAGCUGUUGGUCAAGACCCGAAUAGUGAAUCUCAAGUUCAACAAUACUUCAAUGAAUUACUUGGCCUUAUAGACAAGAAUACGAUGCCCCAAAAAACUAAUCCUCACCUUGCAGUCGGACCUGCAAUACGAGCGGGUUUAAAAAAGGUGCAGUGUCACGGUCAAGGAUGUAAAGAAGCUCGUUGCUUUUUCUUUGGACAUUUAUGUUCUAUAACGUUUGUAUUUGGAAAACGGAAAUAAAACGGAGAGCAGUUAAAUUAUUUAAACAA